CCUUAUUGCCUCGUCCACCCUUAUUGCCUCGGCCACCCUUAUCACCCCAACCCACACCGUAUUUCACCGUGUUGCGGCGCGCAACCCGACCCCGCCUGACAGUUUUUCAAUUCACUACAACAAAUACAAGAAAUCAAUUAUGGCACAUUGUUAAAAUAGAUCCACAACAAGGAUAAUGAAACCCCAAAACUAGCAACAACCCUGUCCUCGUGUUCAUCAAAGUGGUACACAAUUUGGAUCAUCACAACAGUUAUUCACAAC
rnacentral:lncRNA from 1 species